rnacentral:rRNA from 1 species
UGCUGUGAGGCAUUGAGCUAACUGAUACUAAUUGCCCGUGAGGCUUAACCAUACAACACCCAAGGGGUUU